rnacentral:sRNA from 1 species
AAAUAUGUUUAAAAAAAAGAUGUGCACCACCACAGACACCCCCCGAUUCUUACCAUUAAAGGUGUUUACCACCAUAUACCCCACACAUUCUUACCAUUUUCACCAGGCCUAAUAACCAGGACAAUCUGAACGUGAUUUCAGCAUCAGCAGUCCCCAUUGGUUACCUUUGUGCCAAGUUUCAUCUUGUUGCUGCCCUUGGGUCUGCUCAAGUCUUUGUAGGUGUUAAAUGUCAAUAAAAUAGAUGAGUCAUCGUCAUGAAGGCGCUCUCCCAGGCAAGGCACUGUGCUGCCUGUAGCCUGUGACUCACACCACAUCUUGUACUCGGCCCUUUGUUUAUACGAGCAACUAUAUCUUUGGACUAGAUCAAGACACUUGAGAGUGCUGUGUCAUGUCCUUACAGUAUUGACAUACGCUACCAAUCUCUCUUGGCAAAGGCUCUGCCAGUUUUCAGUUCUCCCAACAGUGUAUAUAUCCUUGUAGGUGUCGGGCACUCUCAGCCCUAAAAUAAUGAUAUUAAUAACAAUAGAUCUCUAUCUUUAAGUCUACUUUUAAAAAACUCCUCCAUUUUUCUCUUUUUCUUUUUUGAGAGGGAGUCUCGCUCCGUAGCUUGGGUGGCCUGUAACUAUGAGGACAAGCUGGUUGUCAAGAUUAGCCGAAUGAGAGGAAGCUCUGGGUUUGAUUGAAAGAUUAUGCUUCAGAAGAACCAGGUAAAAGCACCAUUGAGGAAGAUUCUUAUCGUUAGCUUCAGGGUUCUGUGUGCACCUGCACACAGCUGGUGUGUCCAUGCACAUGUAAGCACAUACACAAAUCACAUACACAUAUCACACAUACAUGAGAAGAAGAAAAGGAAAAGAACAGCCAAAUUAUUUAUGAUUUUUUGAUCUCUAUCAAUAUGUAAGUAUUGUACAUAGGAAUAGCUAUGAUUCACAUAUAAAGAGGUAUAAUUUGUAAUGCAUAUAUGUAAUGUAUGGUAUAUAAUAUCUGUACUGUGUCCUACUACAGCCUCUCAUAUAUAACUAUCUCUGUUUUAUCAAAAAAAAUUUUUUUUUAGAUAUGGUCUCAUUUAGUCCCAGUUGGCUCCUGUCUCAACCUUCUGAGAGCUGAGAAUAUAUAACUCUUAGAGACAGACACUCCUGUGACAACUUUCUCCUUUUGGUUUCAGAGAUUGAACCCAGGCCCUUUUGCAUGGUAAACAAAUGUUCUACUACUGAGACUGUAGCCACAUUCCCUGAUCAGAUUAUCCCCGAAGACCUGUUGAACUGUUCAAGACACCCAGGAGCACGAGGUCACUGUCGUGUACCAAGGAUGCACAGAUUCUGUGGAACACUGUCUGGAGGAAUGCAGAGAUCACUGGUGAUAGGACUUCAGCCUUGGAGUUUGAAGUCUCUUCAGUCCACAGCACAGAGUGAGCAGUCCCUCUCUGCCAUGUUACCCAUGAAGAAGCCCUCUCUGGCCUCAGCAUAGAGCUCCCAAGUUACCCAUGUAGAAGCUGUCACUCCUGAGGGAAUGGGAGCUGGGAAGAAGAUGGGAUAUGUGGCAGAGGAAGAGAAGGCCAAAAGGCAGAGCUCUCACUGAGGGCUGUCUCGGAAUCUUGAGGGUUGAAUGUCAUCUUUCUACACUGCAAGUCCAGUUGUGUGACUUCCUUGAUCACCAACUUCCUGUUGCUCUUGGGGAAAAGUCCAGACCGUUGCUGCCUAUCCACCACUCAACCUUUCACCUUGUCUGCUGCUGAUGUAAUCGUGCUGAGUGUUUUCUUUCAGGCCAGGGAGUCUCCUUCACCUGUAGACCUGUGCCCCAUAACUUCCAGAACACUUAUCCAGCCAACGGCUCCUCCUCACUCCCUCCCACCCCCCAGCUUGUGCUAGAUAGUGCCUUUUCUCAUCUUUGAGGUCUCAGCCUAAAGGAAGCGAAGUCUGGAGUCUGCAGUGUGGCCUGUUUGUGCACGUGCAAACUGUAUCCCUAAGAGACACUCUGAACUGAGAACUGAAGCUAAGUUUAGGUGAAUUUUGAGCUCUUCCUUCUCCCAAGCCCCUCUAAAAAUAGCCUGGUACUUAGGAAAUCUGUCUGAGAUCUGAAUACAACAGAAAAAGGCAUUACUGCCAGAGAGAAAAACCCACGGGUGGAUAGGAAACUGUCUGAAAUGACUUUCUUACCAUUUAGAGUGCUUGCAAUGUGUCUCCUCCCACACUCCUGAGCUCAGCACCAAAAACCUAGGAGCUGAGGAGCCGAGGAGGAGACCCCUGUGAAGUCUGGCGAUCACCAGGAGGAAAAUGCAGAGUGCUGCACCCUGUGUACCUAAUGUUCAAGGAGGAGAUGCUGCUGAACCAAGAAGGGAGCACGAUUUGUAUUUCACACUGGCAGCUGGAUCUUAUUCAGUCUUGUUUAACAAAGCUGUGUAUGUGGCUGUUACUAUGGAAACUAUAUGUGAUUAAAUAGUUUAUUGGAUUCAACUUCCAUAAACUGACCUUCUAAAGUUGA